rnacentral:rRNA from 1 species
GACGAACGCUGGCGGCGUGCCUAAUACAUGCAAGUUGAGCGCUGAAGGUUGGUACUUGUACCAACUGGAUGAGCAGCGAACGGGUGAGUAACGCGUGGGGAAUCUGCCUUUGAGCGGGGGACAACAUUUGGAAACGAAUGCUAAUACCGCAUAAAAACUUUAAACACAAGUUUUAAGUUUGAAAGAUGCAAUUGCAUCACUCAAAGAUGAUCCCGCGUUGUAUUAGCUAGUUGGUGAGGUAAAGGCUCACCAAGGCGAUGAUACAUAGCCGACCUGAGAGGGUGAUCGGCCACAUUGGGACUGAGACACGGCCCAAACUCCUACGGGAGGCCGCAGUAGGGAAUCUUCGGCAAUGGACGAAAGUCUGACCGAGCAACGCCGCGUGAGUGAAGAAGGUUUUCGGAUCGUAAAACUCUGUUGGUAGAGAAGAACGUUGGUGAGAGUGGAAAGCUCAUCAAGUGACGGUAACUACCCAGAAAGGGACGGCUAACUACGU